UCUAAGUGCCAGCGUGGGCUGCCGCACAAGCUGCCCGAAUUGCGACGGUUCCCCUGUCGGAUCCGAAUCGCGAAAAUUCGGCCUCUCUCCCUGGAGCUCGUGCGGACUCUGGCGAAUAUUUCCUAAGUGCCAACGGCUCUAUCGCCGUAAAGUGUCCGCUUUGGCUGGUUCCCGCGGUCGGCCAAAAAUAGCAGAAAAUCAGCCUCUUCCCCUGGAGCUCGCGCCAACUUUGGCGAAACAUUUCUAAGUGCCAACGGCUCUUGCGCCGUAAAGUGUCCGCUUUGGCUGGUUCCCGCGGUCGGCCACAAAUGGCGAAAAAUCAGCCUCUACUCCUGGAGCUCGCGCCAACUUUGGCGAAAAAUAUCUAAGUGCCAACGGCUCUUGCGCCGUAAAGUGUCCGCUCCGCGCUGGUUCCGCGGUCGGCCGCAAAUAGCGAAAAAUCAGCCUCUCGCCCUGGAGCUCCCUCCGAAAUUUGGCGAAAUUUUUCAAAGUCCCUUCAGGUACCAGGGGUUGGGGUACCAGGGGUAAUUGCAGUACCAGCUUUGGUCUGUUGGUGCGCCAGAAUAUGAUGAGUACAAAAACUCUCGAAAUUUUUCAAAGUGCCACAUUGCUCGAAAAUUUUCAAAGUGCCACAUUGCUCGAAAAUCUUAAAAGUGCCACAUUGCUCGAAAAUUUUCAAAGUGCCACAUUGCUCGAAAAUUUUCAAAGUGCUACAUGUUUUCCAUCCAAGGAAGGAAUAGUGGAGGACCGGCCGCCUCCUUAACCACAGGCCGGCGGAACGACGGGGAGGACCGGCCGCCUCCUUAAACACAGGCCGGUGGAACGUUUGGCAGAAUCUCGUGGAGGACCGGCCGCCUCCUUAAACACAGGCCGGGCGAAAAUCUGCGAAUGUUAUCCAUCCAAGGACGGAGGACCGGCCGCCUCACUAAACAUAGGCCGGGCGAAAAUCUGCGAAUGUUAUCCAUCCAAGGAAGGAGGAACCGGCCUUCUCCUUAAACACAGGCCGGGCGAAAAUCUGCGAAUGUUAUCCAUCCAAGGACGGAGGACCGUCCGCCUCACUAAACAUAGGCCGGGCGAAAAUCUGCGAAUGUUAUCCAUCCAAGAAGGGAGGACCGGCCGCCUCACUAAACAUAGGCCGGGCGAAAAUCUGCAAAUGUUAUCCAUCCAAGGACGGAGGACCGGCCGCCUCACUAAACACAGGCCGGGCGAAAAUCUGCGAAUGUUAUCCAUCCAAGGAGGGAGGACCGGCCGCCUCACUAAACAUAGGCCGGGCGAAAAUCUGCGAAUGUUAUCCAUCCAAGGAAGGAGGAACCGGCCGCCUCCUUAAACACAGGCCGGGCGAAAAUCUGCGAAUAUUAUCCAUCCAAGGAGGGAGGACCGGCCGCCUCACUAAACAUAGGCCGGGCGAAAAUCUGCGAAUGUUAUCCAUCCAAGGAGGGAGGAACCGGCCGCCUCCUCAAACAACCGGCCGGGCAAAAAUCUGCGAAUGUUAUCCAUCCAAGGACGGAGGAACCGGCCGCCUCCUUAAACACAGGCCGGGCGAAAAUCUGCGAAUGUUAUCCAUCCAAGGACGGAGGACCGGCCGCCUCCUUAAACACAGGCCGGUGGGAACGACUGGCAGAAUCGCGUGACGGCCGCCUGCUCCCGGCGUCCGCACGUGAACAAACACCCCCCUCCUGGGGACGGCCGUCUGCUCCCGGCCGCCGUCCUUCACCCCCCUCAGCUUCCGGACCCCCGUCUGCUCCCGGCGGGCCUCCGAGAACCCUCCCCUUCUCCCGAACUGACCGACUGGCACUCGUGACCCGCCUUGGUAGGGCCCCCACCGGCCCCGGCUCGCGCCGGCGUUGGGUGGACGGUUCCUCCCCACUUGCGGGUCGCACACUAGCGCCUCGGCCGCCGCGAGAGCGUGCGCUACGCGCCGCCCCCGCAGGCCUUGGCGCGACCGUACGGCAGCGAGACCGAGACGCCCCGAAUCACGCACCUAGAGGAAAUCAACGGAGGCCGAGCGCGCGAUCCGAUCGUGGCACGCCGCGUGGGCGUCCGCCGGCCACGCCGGUCUACCGCGAAUGCUGUUUCUCAAACCCUCGGGGGGGCCGCAACGACCGAGUCUGACUCGGACGGGGCGCAGCUUCCCCCCGGUCGCAGCAAUAAGCGCCGAACGCAGCGUUGGUCACCAGCCACCCCGGCGGGUUCGUCGGGAGCGCCGGUACCCUUCCGUAGCUAGUUGCCAGCUGGCCACAGCGGGCCGCACCGACCGAGUCUGACUCGGACGGGGCGCAGCUUCCCGUCUGGGUGACAGCGGCGCUGAGCACGGAGGGGCGGCCGGAAACCCCUUCGACCCCCCGGCUCCCACCAGUGUCGAUCCAACUCCGCAUCCUGGCCGCAGCGCGAGACCGGCGGGCCGCAACGACCGAGUCUGACUCGGACGGGGCGCAGCUUCCCGCUUGGGCCUCGGCGCGCGUGCCUCGCGCGGGCAAGUCGCCGGCACAGCGCCGCGCCCCCGACCCCCGCUUUACGGAAACGAAGCGAGCCUCAGCGGGCCGCAACGACCGAGUCUGACUCGGACGGGGCGCAGCUUCCCGCCUGGGUCAUCGCACGUUCCCCCAGCUCGGGCCUGGAAGGCCGACGCCUUUCCCCUGGAUCACCGCCGUGCCCGCACGGUUCAUCCUCGGCCCCCGCUGGCCAAGCCCGACCGACGUGCCACCCCCGUUGCCGAGUUCGCUCUUCCCGAGCUUCGUCCCCAACCCUCACGCGAACCGCCCGUCCCCCGACCAACCGAUGGGAGCCGCUUGCCAAGCGACGUCAGCAUCAGCGUCCUACGGGUCUGAACUGGCCACAGUACGCGCGCGGCAGACACAGCGACACCGCGGCGGCGGCGGCGGCAACUAAAGGGCGGGCCAGCUCACACGGAUCAGCUUACGGAGUGCGGGCCGGCUCCUCUCGUCAAGGCCUCAGCGAGCGGCUUGAAGGUUCCGUUGCCGGCCGGAGGCCCCGUCCCACCCGCUAGGCUCGCGAAGACCAUUUACCCCAGCAAGCCCCUGCUGACGCGAGUGGCGUCCGGAAAAUGUCGCAGAAACCGCUCGGCCGAGCAACCCCUUCUGACCCCCACCCCUACCUGGUUGAUCCUGCCAGUAGCAUAUGCUUGUCUCAAAGAUUAAGCCAUGCAAGUAUACACCGUGUUCCAAAUUAUUAUGCAAAUUGUAUUUAAGUGUCAUAAAGAUUACAUUUUUUGUUUUUCAAUUGAACUCAUGGACGGUAUUCUGUGUCUGUGUCUGAAAUCAAUCUCAGACACCUGUGAUAGUCUGCCAGGUGAGCCCAAUUGAGGAAAAACUAUUUAAGCUUGGCGUUCCACAUCUCCGGUCUCUUUUUCAUCUGGAACAAGCAACAUGGGAAAGAAAAAGGAUCUCUCUGCUGUCGAAAAGUGUGAAAUCGUUCAAUGCCUUGGACAAGGUAUGAAGACCUUCGACAUUUCACGAAAACUUAAGCGUGACCAUCGAACUGUAAAGACAUUUGUCGCUGAUUCGGAGCACACGCGGGUUCGUGCAGAUAAAGGCACAACGAGGAAGAUUUCUGCAAGACAAAAACAUUGAAUCAAGAGGGCGGCUGCUAACAUGCCACUACAGACGAGCAAACAGAUAUUCGACGCUGCUGGUGCCUGUGAAGUCCCACGAACGUCGAGGUGUAGGAUCCUCCAGAGUCUUGCAGCUAUGCGGAAACCCUCCAUUCGGCCACCCCUAAACAACGCGAACAAGCAGAAACGGCUGCAGUGGGCCCAGGAUUACAUGAAGACUAAUUUUCAGACAGUCCUGUUCACUGAUGAGUGCCGUGCAACCUUGGAUGGUCCAGAUGGAUGGAGUCGUGAAUGGUUGGUGGACGGCCACCAUAGCCCAACAAGGCUGCGGCGUCAGCAAGGAGGUGGCGGAGUCAUGUUUUGGGCCGGAAUCAUGGGGAGAGAGCUGCUUGGCCCCUUUAGGGUCCCUGAAGGCGUGAAAAUGACGUCUGUAAAGUAUGUGGAGUUUCUGACUAACCACUUUCGUCCAUGGUACAACAGGAAGAACCGUGCUUUCCGUAGCAAAAUCAUCUUCAUGCAUGACAAUGCACCAUCUCAUGCUGCAAGAAAUACCUCAGCGUCUUUGGCUGCUAUGGGACUGAAAGGAGAGCAACUGAUGGUGUGGCCCCCAUCCUCCCCUGACCUCAAUCUUAUUGAAAACUUUUGGAGCAUCGUCAAGCAAAAGAUCUACGAGGGUGGGAGGCAGUUCACAUCCAAACAGCAGCUCUGGGAGGCUAUUCUGACAUCCUGCAAAGAAAUUCAAGCAGAAACUGUCCAAAAACUCACAAGGUCAAUGGAUGCAAGAAUUGUGAAGCUGCUAUUAAUUAAAGGGUCCUAUGUUAAAAUGUAACUUGUUUGUUUUUGAUUGAAAAACAAGGAAGCCCCGCCGGCCAAAUAGGGGGGCGCGGACGCGAAACCCACGUCGGGCAGGAGAGCUCGAAAGGCGGAUAAGCUUUCAAGGAAGCCCCGCCGGCCGGUCCGCUGCCCAAAUAGGGGAGCUCGAAAGGCGGAUAAGCUUUUGAUUUCAGUAAAUAUGACCUCCUAAUGCUGUAAAUUCUAAAGAUGAGCAUUUCAGUUCAUAAAAACCUAUAAAAUGUUAUAAAACUCUGUUGUGCGUAAUAAUUUGGAACAGUGCAUUUUAAGUUUUUUAUUUUUGAAAAAUUCUGUUAUCAUUCGGAGGUUUGUUCAAUAACAUUAGAAUUCAUUAAACUAAUGGUUGAUGACUUGAAAAUUAUGCUGACUCAUUUUGCAUCGACUAUUUAGGAAAAUCUGAGAUAAAUAUCACUUGCAUAAUAAUUUGGAACACGGUGUAGAUGGUUACAAGUUAUCCCAUAUUUACUCAAUGUUUGUUAAAGUGUUUAGGACAAGUCACUCAUUCUUAUUGCGUGUUAAUUUACUAAGUAGAUAAAGUCUAGCCAAGGUUUAGUUGCAUUGUUCCACAGGAGUUAUCUGAUCUCGCUCGCGGACGACUCGGCCAACAACUGGAGGAGAACAGAUGGACAAACUCUGCGGGGGUCACGGGCCGACAAUGAAGUGCUAAUUCACACCACACUACAUUCUUUUACUAAUCAGCGUUGCUACAGACACAAUCUCCCCUCCCUUUAGUGUAGCAACGCCUCUGUAACCAGGGAAACCAAAACAUUAAAUAGAGGAGCACGUGGAGGGAGAACUCAGAAUUGAUAGAGAUUGUAACCGAGUUUCCUCUCUCUAUCGUUCUCCUCGCGAGUAAACCUG